GCGGACGUAGCUCAGUCGGUAGAGCCCCGGAUUGUGGAUCCGGUUGUCGGGGGUUCGAGUCCCCUCGUUCGCCCCA
rnacentral:tRNA from 1 species